AUGCAGCCCUACAUACUGAAUGCCUUUGGGGCCAAGUCACAUAUUAAACUUCAAAGUAAGUUUUGCGGGCUGUUCAAAGUUCUGCAUAAAGUGGGAAAUGUAGCUUACCACUUGCUACUUCUAGCGGGGACAAAAAUACACCCAGUCUUUCAUGUCAGUGAGCUUAAACGACACAUUGGUCCUACUGUUGUUCCUUGUGAAAAUCUUCCUUUGGUCACGGAGGACGGACACAUCAAGCAAGAACCUGUGAUGGUGUUACAAAUGCGUCUUAUUCCCAGGAACAACCUCCCCAUGAUCCAGUGGCUUGUACAGUGGGAAAAUUUUCCUCCCGAAGAUUCCUCUUGGGAAGAUGCAGAUUUCAUUAAGCAUACAUUCCCUCGCUUCUUCAAGCAAACGGUGGAAGGCUGGCGUCAAGGUACUUGA
rnacentral:rRNA from 1 species